GCAAGCUUCUCCGCCGAAUUUCCAUCUCUUUCUUCGCCAACCCUUCACAACGUUUCGAUUGGCUGUCUAUCCCUGCCUAUCAAACGGAAGCAAGUAUUCCAGUGAAGCUGCCGAAUUCCUAAAAUUCAGGAGGAGCUGAGAACCAAUGUCUAGUAUGACACAACUGGAAGCCACUUGGAAAGUUGUUGCUCCUCUUCCCAUCCAGCACCUGCAGAGAUCUCUUGACUGAGCAUGAUACAAUGGCAACAUCACGAAUGGAGGUGGCUGCUGCUCAAGACUGAAUGUCUGUACAAGUACAAUGCAUUUUGCUCUCAUUCUGUGGUGACGGACAUCCAACUGCUUCAGGCCCAACUCUUCCAAGUACUGACAGGAGCUCUCCACAGGAAGGCUGAAAGGAAAGAACAAGUGGAGGUGCUGCAGGGGGAAAGGGGGCAGCAUGAACUUUAAAAAGGAUCUCUUCUUUUCCCACGACAUUUUUGUAAAGAGCCUGCAACUAAUCACAGCAGUUUGGACCCUGGCAGGAGAAAUUUCCUUUGCAUGAAAGAUGAAGAGAUUUUGCUUUAGGGAUAGCAAGCUGCCUGCACAGAUGGUCAGUUUCAGGUCUGUGCACACCCUUCGGUCAAGGCAAUGUAUGUUCCAAGCUACCAUGCUUCAGAACAGCUCAGUGCACAGCAACAGAAGAGUCAUCUGUUCAAUUCUCCAUCAGUGUACCAAGGUCUCCAAUACAUUUCACAGAGGAUGAGCGGGUGAGGCUGGGGGCAGAGUCUGGCAGUGGCAGCCCAGCAAUAUGACCUGGCAGAUACCCACUUUUGCCUCUGUCCCUGCCCACUGCUAGCAUGUAGCCCCUGUAAGAUUGCCCAUGAGGUAAUGUGGCUCUUGGGCUGAAAAAGCUCCUCUCCCCAGUAUAGCAGAUAUAUGGACUUUAAAGAUAAGCAUCUGCCCUUUGUAGACAGUAGUGGAAGUGAUCAGGGAGCCACUGAAGUUUUUUCAAAACAGGUGUGAUAUGAGUCCACCUCCUGGUCUCUAUUAACAGUCUAGCUGCUGCAUCCUAAGCCUAGGGAUCAUUCAUGCUGUCAUGUAGGAUUGCUAACAAUCCACAUUUUCUUUAUUCCAUAUUGCCUUCUGGUAGUCAAAACUUGAUAUUUAGAUUAAACAU